rnacentral:rRNA from 1 species
UACGAAGGGUGCAAGCGUUACUCGGAAUUACUGGGCGUAAAGCGUGCGUAGGUGGUGAGUUAAGUCUGUCGUGAAAGCCCCGGGCUCAACCUGGGAAUGGCGAUGGAUACUGUCGGGCUAGAGUGCGGAAGAGGCGAGUGGAAUUCCUGGUGUAGCGGUGGAAUGCGCAGAUAUCAGGAGGAACACCGAUGGCGAAGGCAGCUCGCUGGACGGUACUGACGCUGAGGCGCGAAAGCGUGGGAGCGAACAGG